UGAACGCUAGCGGCAGGCCUAACACAUGCAAGUCGAGGGGUAACAGAGAGAAGCUUGCUUUUCUGCUGACGACCGGCGCACGGGUGCGUAACGCGUAUACAAUCUGCCUUAUACAGAGGGAUAGCCUUUAGAAAUGAAGAUUAAUACCUUAUAGUCUAUUUUUAUAGCAUUAUAUAAAUAGUAAAGCUUCGGUGGUAUAAGAUGAGUAUGCGUCCUAUUAGUUAGUUGGUAAGGUAACGGCUUACCAAGACAACGAUAGGUAGGGGCCCUGAGAGGGGGAUCCCCCACACUGGUACUGAGACACGGACCAGACUCCUACGGGAGGCAGCAGUGAGGAAUAUUGGACAAUGGAGGCAACUCUGAUCCAGCCAUGCCGCGUGCAGGAUGACGGCCCUAUGGGUUGUAAACUGCUUUUAUAUAGGAAGAAACCUUUUCACGUGUGAGAAGCUGACGGUACUAUAAGAAUAAGGACCGGCUAACUCCG
rnacentral:rRNA from 1 species